rnacentral:rRNA from 1 species
UACGGGGGGGGCAAGCGUUGUUCGGAAUUACUGGGCGUAAAGGGCUCGUAGGCGGCCAACUAAGUCCGACGUGAAAUCCCCAGGCUUAACCUGGGAACUGCGUCGGAUACUGGAUGGCUUGAAUCCGGGAGAGGGAUGCGGAAUUCCAGGUGUAGCGGUGAAAUGCGUAGAUAUCUGGAGGAACACCGGUGGCGAAGGCGGCAUCCUGGACCGGCAUUGACGCUGAGGAGCGAAAGCCAGGGGAGCAAACCGG